UCUCACUGCUUUAAAAUUCUUAAUUUUAUCUUCGAACUUGUAUUUUUAAGUGAAGUCUAAUCGGACAAAGGACCACGCAUUUGAACAGAAGAGAUACACACAGUAUGUGUUUCCACUACCAUUCUAUGUUGCCCUGUUUGCAUAGAGAAUUCCAGUGACCCACUGUGGAUAAAGUGAAGGUUCCUAUGCCCAGGAUUCUCACCUGGCCCUGUUUGACUGGCUCACUACACAGGUUUUCUGACACUGAGGAGCACAUGGGAGAAUUACAAGAGGAGCACACACCCUCUUGAGUUUAAGUAUUGGCAUGUGACUUGCACUGGCCACGACAGGACAUGGGCCACUUUCUGGAGAAAACAUUAAAUACUGAUGAAUGGGUCUCCAUCUUUUCUUCCCACUGCCACAGUGAAGGCACGAUCAGGCGCCAGAUCACAAAGACCCCAAGUGCAGUGGCAUGUCAUGUGUCCAUCUGAGACCUCUUCCCGGCUUGAGAUAAAGACACUUCUCACUAUCCUUGGUGGUGGGGAAAGGUGGAGCUGAGAGACCUCUGUCAAUGAAUGAAUAAAUUAAUUAAUGAAAUCAAAUAAAA